rnacentral:rRNA from 2 species
GACCUCAAAUCAGGUAGGACUACCCGCUGAACUUAAGCAUAUCAAUAAGCGGAGGAAAAGAAACUAACAAGGAUUCCCCUAGUAACUGCGAGUGAAGCGGGAAAAGCUCAAAUUUAAAAUCUGACAGUCUUUGGCUGUCCGAGUUGUAAUCUAGAGAAGCAUUAUCCGCGCUGGACCGUGUACAAGUCUCCUGGAAUGGAGCGUCAUAGAGGGUGAGAAUCCCGUCUUUGACACGGACUGCCAGGGCUUUGUGAUGUGCUCUCAAAGAGUCGAGUUGUUUGGGAAUGCAGCUCAAAAUGGGUGGUAAAUUCCAUCUAAAGCUAAAUAUUGGCGAGAGACCGAUAGCGAACAAGUACCGUGAGGGAAAGAUGAAAAGAACUUUGGAAAGAGAGUUAAACAGUACGUGAAAUUGCUGAAAGGGAAACGCUUGAAGUCAGUCGUGUCAGUCAGGGAUCAGCCUUGCUUUUGCUUGGUGUACUUUCUGGUUGAUGGGUCAGCAUCAAUUUUGACUAUUGGAAAAAGAUCAGGGGAAUGUAGCAUCUUCGGAUGUGUUAUAGCCUUUGGUUGUAUGCAAUGGUUGGGAUUGAGGAACUCAGCAUGCCGCAAGGCCGGGU